ensembl:snRNA U6 U6 spliceosomal RNA
GUGCUCGCUUCCACAGCACAUAUACUGUAAUUGGAACAAUACAGAGAAGAUUAGCAUGGCCCCUGUGCAAGAAUGACGCAUAAAUUUGUUAAGCAUUCCAUAUUUUU